rnacentral:rRNA from 1 species
GACGAACGCUGGCGGCGUGCUUAACACAUGCAAGUCGAACGGUGAAGCGAGUGCUUGCACUCGUGGAUCAGUGGCGAACGGGUGAGUAACACGUGAGUAACCUUCCCAUCACUCUGGGAUAAGCACUGGAAACGGUUUCUAAUACUGGAUACGACCAACCCUUGCAUGGGGUGUUGGUGGAAAGAUUUAUCGGUGAUGGAUGGACUCGCGGCCUAUCAGCUUGUUGGCGGGGUAAUGGACCACCAAGGCGACGACGGGUAGCCGGCCUGAGAGGGUGACCGGCCACACUGGGACUGAGAAACGGCCCAGACUCCUACGGGAGGCAGCAGUGGGGAAUAUUGCACAAUGGGCGAAAGCCUGAUGCAGCGACGCCGCGUGAGGGAUGACGGCCUUCGGGUUGUAAACCUCUUUCAGCAGGGAAGAAGCGAAAGUGACGGUACCUGCAGAAGAAGCACCGGCUAACUACGUG